UCCAUCACCGUGAUGAUGUGGUAGCCACGC
rnacentral:piRNA from 1 species